ensembl:lncRNA
AUGAGCACUGGUCCCGCAGAACUGGCUGAAAUUGUUGUAGAGAAGGCCACAGACAUAAAGACCACUGUCUCUAAUUACCUAACCAGUCUGUUUGCAGUGGAUGAAGGUGGUAUUCCUGACAUUAGCUUUGAUCCCAUGAAAGUUGUCACAGACACUGUUGAGGAGUUUGCUGACAGGAGGGAUAUGUUCUUGGCCUAUCUCUCCAACAUGGAAGACAAAGAUGACACACCGCAAGUGAUAAGACGGAAAGGAGAAUUUCUGCCCCCUAUGGAAAAAGUUCUUGAACAAGUGAAAGAAGCCAAAGAGAAAAAAGCUAGAGAGGAGAUAUACAAAAUCAUUCAAGAUAUGAGGGAAAAGAAGGCUGAAAGUAAAGAGGAAGAGAUAACACUGCAACGAAUAAACAUAACAGUAGAAAAAGUCAAGAAGAAAAAGGAGAUAGAAAAGGCUAAAAGAAAAGAAAAAUCCAAAGAGGACAAGACUCGAGAACCAACAGAAAAGGACACCAAGAAAAAAACUGAGAAAAAGGUCAAGGUGACUAAAGUGGGCGAGGAACCCCCUCUAAAAAAGAAGAAAUCUGAAGCUAAAAUGGACAAAAAAGAGACCAAACUAGCACCAUCUAAGAAAGAGCCUCGAGUUACAAAAGAAAAGGCUAAACCAGCUCGUUCAAAGAAAGAAGCUGAAGUUGCUGUUAAAAAACUAAAACAUGCUCCUGCAAAGAAAGAGCCUGAGGUUUCCAAAGAAAAAGCCAAGCCAAAACGUUUAAAGAAAGAGGCUAAAUCUGUUGAAGAGAAGGCAAAACCAGCACCAGCUAAAAAAGAGAAGGAGAAACCUCCAAAGAAAGCUGUAAAAGAAAAGCCCAAACCUGCUUCUGUAAAGAAAGAACCUAAAUUUCCAAGAGAGAAAGCAAAACCUAAACCUUUCAAAAAAGAGGCAGAAGUUGCCAAAUACAAGCAUAAACCUGUCACUGUGAAGAAAGAACCUGCUGUUGCAGUUGAAAAGGCAAAACCGAAACCUGCACCAAAGAAAGUUACCAAAGAGAAAGCUAAACCAGAACCUGCAAAGAAAGAACCUGAGAUAACCAAAGAAAAACCGAGAGCACCAAAGAGAAAGGCUAAAGUUAUUAAGGAGGAAGCUAAACCAGCUCCUGCAAAGAAAGUCAUCAAAGAUGUUAAACCAGCCCUUAAGAGAAGAGAGGCUAAAGUAAUCAAGAAGAAAGUUAAACCGACUCCUGUAAAGAAAGAGCUUGAAGUUGCUAAAGAAAAGGCACCUAAAUCAGCACCAAGAAUAGAAAAGCCAAAGCCAGCACCAAAGAUAGUGGCUAAAGUCAUCAAGGAGAAACCUAAACCAGUUCCUGAGAAGAAAGAAGCUGUAAUCAUCAAAAAGAAAGUUAAACUGGCUCCAGUAAAGAAAGCACCUGAGAUAAUCAAAGAAAAGCCAAAGCCAGCACCAAAGAAAGAGGCUGAAGUCAUCAAAGAGAAAGCUAAACCAACUCCUGAAAAGAAAGUCAUCAAGGAGAAACCUAAACCAGUUCCUGAGAAGAAAGAAGCUGUAAUCAUCAAAAAGAAAGUUAAACUGGCUCCAGUAAAGAAAGCACCUGAGAUAAUCAAAGAAAAGCCAAAGCCAGCACCAAAGAAAGAGGCUGAAGUCAUCAAAGAGAAAGCUAAAGCAACUCCUGAAAAGAAAGAGACCGAAGUCAUCAAGGAGAAAGUUAAACCAGCCCCUGUAAAGAAAGUUAAAGUUCCAAAGGAAAAGACAAAACUUGUCCUUGAAGCAAAGGAACCCAAAAUAACUAAGGAAAAGCCAAAGCCAGCACCAAAGAAAGAAGCUUUAGUCAUCAAAGAGAAAGCUAAACCAGCCCCUGUGAAGAAAGAGUCUGAAAUUAUUAAGGAAGAAAGAAAGAAAGCUAAACCAGCUCCUAAGAAGAAAGUGGCUGAAGUCGCCAAGGAGAAAGCUAAGCAAGCUCCGGUGAAGAAAGAGCCUGAAGUCACUAAAGAAAAGUUAUUAGAACCAACUCCAAAAAAAGAGCUCCUGAACUCUAUCAGCCAAAAACUGUCUCUUCUGGAUUUACUGAGGAAGGACAUUGGUGAAAUGAAGAGUGAUCUGGAGUCCACUCAAAAUCAAAUUACGCUUUUACGAAUGGACAACAAAACAAUCAAAGAGCCGAAGACUGUUGGUGUAAAGGUAAAACCAGCAGUCUCCAAGGAAAAGGUCAAAACAGCAAAAAAAGACCAUGAUGCUCUGAUGAACGUUACAGCACAUAUUAAAGCAGAAGCUGAAAUCAUCAAAAAGAUAAAAGAUAAAGUUAAACUGGCUCCUUUAAAGAAAGAACGUGAUGCACUGAAAAACAUCACUAAACCAGCACCUGCAAAGAAAGAUAAAGAGGCUCCAAAAGCUAAGAUCAGACCAGAGCCCAAAAAGAAAGAAAUCACCCAUGAGAAGGUCAAACAAGUAAAGGAACCUUUACAGAAAGUCGAGCCAACUAAGAAGGAGGCUGUUGUGGGCAAGGAAGUAAAAGGAGAAGAACCUGAUGUCUCCAAAGAUAUUCCAGAGAUGGAGGAUGAGGAUGUUCCCUACUUCCAGUGUUUCUUUGUGGAUGAGGAUGAUACUCAGUAUCCAUUCUUCCCCUUUUCACCACCGCUGUGGUGA